GAGAGAGAGACAGAGAGAAAGGUCUUCCUUCAGCCCCCCAAUGGCCGCUGCAGCUGGCGCACCACGCUGAUUCAAAGCCAGGAGCCAGGUGCUUCUCCUGGUCUCCCAUGCAGGUACAGGGCCCAAGCACUUGGGCCAUUCUCCACUGCCUUCCCGGGCCACAGCAGAGAGCUGGACAGGAAGAGGAGUGACCGGGACAGAAUCCAGCACCCCGACCGGAACUAGAACCCAGGGAGCCGGCACCACAGGCAGAGGAUUAGCCUACUGAGCCACAGCGCCAGCCUGCUUUUUCUAUAUAUCAUUAAAACCAUUAUUUUUAUUGCAGUUACACCUGUUUUGUGGCAUGUACUCUGAAACUCUUAUAUUGGCUGCAUAGAUAUUUAUGAUUUGUGCUUGUUAUGUGUUCUUGAUGAAUUGGCGCCUUUACCAUUAUGAAAUGAGUCUUUACUCCACUAAUACUCUUUGCUCUGAAAUCUCUUAUGCCUGAUGUUAAUAUAGCUUUCUUUUUAUUGGUGUUAGCCUGGUGUAUUUCUCCAUCAUUUGCUGUUAACCAAUUUCUGCUAGCGCAAUUGAAAUAAGCAACACAUAGUUGGGUCUCACAUUUUUAUCCAAUCUGACGACCUCUUCCUUUUAGUUUGGCCACUUAGACCAUUCAUAUUUAAUGUGAUAUGAUUAGGUGUAAAUGCUCUUUGUUUUCUUUAUGUUCCAUCUCUUCUUAAUUUUUUUUCUCUUUUUUUUUCCUUUUUGAUUUACUAAUUUUUUUACAAUUUAAUCUUAUGUCUUCUUAUGGAUUGUCAUCCACAACCAUUUGUUUUGGCAUUUUAGUUGUUACCUUAGGAUUUAUAGUGUGUAUAUACAUAAAUACACAUAUUCACAGUGUAUUUAUGUAUAUACAUAGCUUAUUAUAAUAAGCUACCAUCAAAUGAUUUGGUGCUAUUGUACAUGUAGUGUAGUAAUCCUGCAGGAUUAAACCACAGGCAGACGUGUAUCUACCCUUUCCAAUGCUCUUCAUUCCUGCUAUAGACCCCACCCAUUCCAGUGCUCCUCUUUCUGCCUACAGACCCCGCCCAUUCCAGUGCUCUCCAUUCCUGCCUAUAGACCCCGCCUUCUAGUGCUUUCCAUUCCUGUCUGUAGACCCCACCUUCCAUCUGAUUUAAUGUUCCUUCUAGUGAAGUCUGCCAGUAUUGAAUUCUUUUAGUCUUGGUAUCUCUGAACAAAGUAUUUCUUCCCCUCCACUUUUAAAAGGUAUUUCCCCUAACUAUAGAAUUCUGGACCGCCAGCUUGUUUUUUUAUUCAGUAUUUGACAAAUGUCACUCUGCUUCCUUCCCACAUGCAUCAUUUCUGUCUAGUAAUCUGCAAUAAUUUUCCCUUUUAAAACUGUGUAUUUAUUUAUGUAUUUAUUUGAGAGGCAGAGAGAGAGAACUGCCAUCCCCCGGGUCCCAGCCCCAGAUGCCUGCAAUGGCUAGGGAUGAGCCAGGGUAGAGUUGAAGGCAAUGGCCGGAACUGUGCCAAUCCAAAGCCAGGAGCCAGGAGCCUCCUCCAGGUCUCCCAUGCAGGUGCAGGGGCCCAAGGACUUGGUCCAUCUUCUGCUGCUUUCCCAGGCCAUAGCAGAGAGCUAGAUCGAAAGUGGAGCAGCCGGGACUCGAACUGGUGUCCAUAUGGGAUGCUGGCACCGCAGGCAGCAGCCUCACCCGCUAUGCCACAGUGCCAGUCCUGAGACACAAGGUUUUACCCAUUGCACUUGGCUUUUUAAAACUCAUUAGGUGCCAGGACAAUGCUUGGCUGAGGGGGAAACUGCCCUGUGUCUCCCAGUGUCUCUUGAGGUUUCCUUCCAGGAGUGGUGGGGACAGAAGCUAUUGUGGGGUCUGUGUGAGCAGCAGCUAUUAUUCUUAGUCUCAAUCCUUUAGUAUGACUUUUCCCCUGCCCUUGGGGAGCUCCCCUGCACGCCUGCACUUUUCCAUCCUCAGCUGGAUAUUGAGGGGGGACCCUCUGGAGCGUGCUCUGGGUGGCUCUGUCCCCUCUGUGCUCUUCCCCAUAAACCCGGGCAGUCGAGGGCCCCUCGGACUCUCAGUGUCGUCUACUCCUCUUGCGGAGUCUGCUGGGCUCCUCCGUGUGCUGUGCCCAGGCAGUGAGCUUGGCCGGCUUCAUGUACUUCCCUCUGUGCAGGGAACCCUGUUUUGUAUUUGCCAGUGUCCAGCCUCUCGCCUGCUGGUGUUUCACACAUUUUGUCCAUUCUUUUGACUGUUUAAAGUGGGAGACUAAAUCAAGUGUCUGUUACUCCAUUUGGGCUGAAAGUGGAAAUUCAUCACUUCCUCUCAUGUUAGCGGGGUCUCCACUGGUGAGGGAAUGGUGCCUGGACUGGCUUCAGUCAUCUGAGUGCCCAAGCACACGGCACAUGCUUACAAAGAUGGGGCCGCCCGCGGGACAAAGCCUAUGUUACCCAGUGGCUCAUGGCUUUAUAAUUAUUCAUCUAUACUACUCUUCCCUAGAUGCACUUCCUGAGGAAUGGGAAAUGUGCCUUGUUAGUUUUGGGAUUAUUUCUGUGCAGAAUUGGAGGUCUGUAAAUGUUUGUUGAACGAAUGAGUGAGGGAGGGAUGUUGAACUGUUGGUAGGGCUACACGUAGAAGUGAAGCCUGAAGAUAAGAAUACUUUUUAAGGUUUUAUUUAUUUAUUUUUAUUUGAGAGGUAGAGUUACAGACAUAGAGGAAGAGUCAGAGAGAAAGGUCUAACAGCUGCUGGUUCACUCCCCAGAUGGCUGCAAUGGCCAGAGCUGAGCCGAUCUGAAGCCAGGAACUUCAUCCGGGUCUCCCAUGUGGGAGCAGGGGCCCAACCACUUGGGCCAUCUCCACUGCUUUCCCAGGCCAUAGCAGAGAGUUUGAUUGGAGUAAGAGCAGCUGGGGCAUGAGCCGGUGCCCACAUGAGAUGCUGGCACCACAGGUAGAGGCCUAGCCCACUGGGCCAUAGUGCCGGUCCCAAGGACAUUUCUAACAAACAUCUUUGCAGAAGGCAUGGGGCCUUCAGGACAAGGUUCGCUCAGGCUGCUGCUUCGUGGGAGCUGUAGACACCAGCACCUGCAUCUGCCUCUAUGGUGGGAAACACUUCUUUAACAUGCUGUCACACACAGUGCCACUGUCACACAGUGCCUGUGUCACACACAUGGUGCCACUGUCAUGCACUGCUGGUGUCACACAUGGUACCUGUGCCACACACAAUGCCAGUGCCACACACAAUGCCACUGUCACACACUGUGCCACUGUCAUACACUGCUCAUGUCACACACGGUGCUGGUGUCACACAUGGUGCCAGUGUCUCACGAUGCUGGUGUCACACACACAGAGUGCUGUGACACACACAGUGCUGGUAGGAUGUGUCUGCAGCACUUGGAGGGAUUUUUCUGACCUGAUCUCAUUGUGAAAUAGCAGAAGAAGAUAUCUUUCCAGUCCAUCUGUCCCCUUAUUUUUGUGUUCUGUCAACUUAAUCCUGGAGGGAAUUUCUAAGGUUUAAUUAUAAAUCUUUAGUGUUUAGUUUUAAAGGCAAAUGGGUCUAUUUUAAGGUCAAUUUACUCAUUUCUCCUCUUUUUUAAAGAAUGUAGAGUUGUGUCAUACAUCUACUGAGUUCCUCAAAGGUUCAAAAGCUGAGAGAUUAGGGAGAGAAAAAUAUUAUCACUCACCCACUGUCUGACUCUCAAAGGAAGCACAGCAGAGGGGUCUCGAGUGUCCUGGCGCUCUGCCACCUCCUUACAGCUGAGUUGACUAUGCGACCUUGGGAAAGUCGCUCGACUUCUCCAAGCCUCAGUUUUCCCACCUGUAUGUAGGAUGAUGUCGUAAUGGUACCUGCUUAUGUCAAUCCAUGUUGCUUUUUUGUUUUGUUUUGUUUUAAAGCUUUUACUAUGUAAGGAUUUCAACAGUUUGCACACACACAUGCACACACACACACAACAUAUAAAGUACUCUUUGAGAACAAGUUUUGCAGUUAAUUCUCAUAGUACAACUGAUUAAGGACAGAGGUCCUACAUGGGGAGUAUGUAAGUGCACAGUGAUUUCUUUUGUUAAUUUAACAAUUUACACUCUUAUUUAUGACGUCAGUGAUCACCCAAGGCUCUUGUCAUGAGCUGCCAAGGAUAUGGAAGUCUUCCAAGUCCACAAACUCUGUCAGUAUUUAGACAGGGCCAUAAGCAAAGUGGAAGUUUGUCGCUCCCCGUCUUCGUGGAGGAGCGACACAAGACCCUGCGCUGUUCUUUCAUCUGCUCGGCCCUCCCCGGGUUUGCUGCUGGUUCUUCCCGGGUUGGCUACCGACCCUUCCACCUCCGUGGAAGGGCGGUUCCCCCUGCCACAUUCCCCACUUCCGCGGGGGAGCGGCACACCGCCGGCCGGCUCUCUCGGGGGCUGCACAGGUGUUCCUUCAGAUAGAUGUUCCCCUUAGAUGUUCCUGGUGCAUGUUGUCUCUCUCCUCCUUUAUAGUCCUCUUCCACCAAUCCCAACCCGGCUGCCCACACGCCGAGUACGCUGCUCUCCUGCAAUCAGGAGCAGGAUCAGUUCCUGGAGAUCAUCACUCAAGUUGGCAAGAGGCAGCUGCAUAGAAGCUGUUUUCUCCUCUCCCAGCGCCAUGUUGUGGGAGAGCAGAUGCAUAGAAUAAGUCUUAAUUCCAGUAACUUAGUCUAGUCCGAGUUGCUCCCAGUUGCUCCCCACAGAAGUUCUAUUCUCCCUUCAGAGAAAAGUACAUCCUUCUUUGAUGGCCCUUUCUUUCCACUGGGGUCUCACUCACAGAGAUCUUUCUUGUAGAACAUUUUUUUGCCAUAGUUUCUUGGUUUCCCAUGCCUGAAAUGCUCUCAUAGGCCUUUCAGUCAGACCAGGAAGCCUUAAGGGCUGAUUCUGAGGUGAGAGUGUUAUUUACAGAGAUUAUCAUUCUAUGAAUCUUCUGUGUGGGUAUCAGUCCACUCUGAAGUGUUAUAACGAAACACUUGACGCCAGGUGCUUAUUUGUAAAGAGAUUUAUUUAUCUCACAAUUUUGGAAGCUGAAAGCCCAAGAGCAUAGUUCUGCCUUAGUGAGGGCUCUGCUGGCCACGCCCCUUCCAGAUGGAUGCAUCAUGGGGGGCAUGAGUGUGAAAGGAGGAGACUGCUCGGCCAGAGAGGGAGCCAGAGCAGGACAGGGGCCAGACUGGCUCUUUUUGUAACUGGUUCUCAUGGAAAACUACUGCAGGUCCAUGAGAACUAACAGUCCCCUCCCAAGGGCAGUGCCUCUAGUGACCUCCCACUGGGCUCCACUUCUUUUUUUAAAAAAGAUUUAUUUAUUUAAAAGGCAGGGUUACAGAGAGAGAGGUGGAGACAGAGUGUCCACCUGCUGGUUCUCUUCUCAGAUGGCUGCAGCAACCAGGGCUAGGCCAGACCAAAAAGCCAGGAGGAAGGAGCUUCUCCCAGAUCUCCCAUGUAGGUGCAGGGGCCCAAGGAUGUGGGCCGUCUUCCACUGCUUUCCCAGGUGCAGCCAAUGGCUUAACCUGCUAUGCCACAAGGCCGGCCCUAGGCUCCAUUUCUCAAAGUUACCAGCCCCUCUACACUGCCAUCCCGAGCACCAAGUCUGGACUGUCUGAGCCCUGGCGGACAAACGUGGCAUGGGAGGGAGACGGAGCUGGUUAUUAUUUGUGCAGUGCUACACAGGGCAGGUGCCCUAGCGCCUCGGUUUAGGAGUGAAAUGUAAUACACGAAAACAAAGCUUCGCUCCUUCUUUAACAUUUUACCCAAUCUGCCUUUUCCACAAAGUACAACUUCAAUUCAGUUUUAUCGAAAUGCGUCAACUACAGCGGGCUACAUUUUCAGAAAUCAGCUGGAUAUUGAGAGGGAAAGAGCUGUUCUUAACUCCCUUUUCUAGAUCUUCCAUUUAGCCACAACAUCUUAUUGCCCUCACUUUUCUCACUUAAUCCCACAGCUUAGCAAGCUUUUUCCCUUGAAACUUUACUUUCCCUUUAGUCCGAACCUUCUGCUUUCCUUAAUUCAGUCUCCAGUUCUGCCUCUGAACUAUGCCCUCUCCCAGCGGUUUGCUUCUGAGUCCUCCUGUCAGCCUAGGCGUCCAGGUCCUCUCCCUUCUUGGUUAUGGAGCUAUUCCCCGGGACACUUCAGCACUGCAGGUAUCCUUUCCAGCUUUCCUGAGUUCAUUUCUGACGCACCGUCCUUGUUGUCUGCACGCUCCAAGCCCAGGUGUGUCUGUGGCUUGCAGAAUCUUACAAAGGUACUGAACACAAACAAGGUUAACCGUUUCUUUUCCACUUUAUACUUAGUGACCUAUUUGAUUAUUCGUGUUUUCAGAAUUUCCAGCUUGGCGUCAUCUGUCUGAGUCAUUAUUGUCCGAGCAUCUCACUGUUCAGAUUAUUAGGAAGUUUUUAACAAAGCUAAAUUGGGAGCACCGAUGUUGUGGCACAGGGGGCUAAUCCUCUGCUUUGUGACAUCCGAGUGCCCAUGGAGUCCUGGCUGCUCUGCUUCUGACACAGCUCCCUGCUAAUGUGCCUGUGAAGGUGGCAGAAGGUGGCCCAAAUACAUGUGCCCCUGCCACCCACAUGGGAGACCCAGAUGGAGUUCCAGGCUUCUGGCUUUCAGCCUGGCCCAGCCCUGGCCAUUGCAGCCAUCUGGGGAGUCAACCAGCAGGUGGAAGAUCUCUGUCUCUUCCUGACUCUGUGUCACUCUGCUUUUCAAAUAAAGUAAAUAAAUCUAUUUUUAAAAUGAAGGCUAAAUCAGCAGUAAACAGUUGACUUUGUCUUGUAAAUGCAUGACCUAGCCAAUGUGCAUUUUGCAAUUGACAUGGUUUUUUUCGGUGGUCUCUGCCUGAACAUGCCAUCUGUGGGGGCGCCUGCGCAUGACGUCACAGCCCGCAGACACAUUCGUUUCUGGCUGGGUGUCCGAGGCUCGCCAGGAGUUUACAGUAGCGAAGACGAGUCUGAAGCCCCGAUCUCCUCACUGGCCUUAUUGUACAGCCAGCCCCGUCCCGUCCGCCGCCAGCGGACCGGGCAGCCAGCCAGGGCGCAUCACCAGCGCGCAGUGCGCAGCCCUCCGCCCACCUGCCCCACACUGGUGAACGAGAGGAAGGCACGGGCUCGGAGGGAGGCCGCCACCGGCUUCCCACCACGCGGGCUCCGCCUCCUCACACAGCGGCCGCGUGUCAAAACACUGGCUUAUCAGGAGGACUAGAUGAGGCGGCGGUUAAACAAAGGCACACGGUGACCAGCCACCAUUUCUAAGUGAAUCCUGCCGCCUGAUCUGGGCCUGACACUGGCCAUGGCUGCUGCGAUUACCGCCCGCGAGCCAGCAGAGGGACAAGACCCAGGCAUGGAAUCGUUGACUGCUUUGGCCUGAAAUUAUGCGUCCUGUCUUGUGCGUGUCUGCACGCAGGCACACCCCCACCGCCACUCCUGCAGACGGAAAGCUGUCUUCCCAGGGCGCGGGUUGCCGUUGUCUCCAGUCUGGCUUCCGUGUCGUCUACUCUGGUCCUCCUCUAGACCCAUUCUCUAAAUAUUUAGAGAACUAAGAGGGUCUUUUAUCUGUGUUUAGUAGUGGAUUUUUCUGGCUCUUAAGACAUUAUCUUUUAUAAGUCCCUAAGUGUUAGAAGUGGGAAAACCAUCCUUCUUUUAAAUUUAGCAAAUAGCAUUUAUGCGCGUCUGAGCUUCUGCCAGAUACACACUUACACUGUAAUAGAAAUACCGUGGAAAAGCAAACCGUACGCUUUUAACACUAUCAGGCAGGCGCUCUCUCCCUCUUGUCUCCUCCCGAAGAGACGUUUAGAAGAAUGAGAGGCCUCUCUGGGUCCGUGUUUAUAAGCCUGGCUGGGGAAAAAAAAUGUCAGUUCUUUUUCAGACUCAGGAUCACCCUGAAAUAAAUGUGAGCCUAAGCAAUCGCUCAAGUGCUUUCUAAGCAACGGUUCCAUCUAUAAUCACACACACAUCCCCUUUUAUUUAGUUAAUGCCAACGAGAGCUCAUCAGAAUGCAGUACCAUUUGCACGUUUCACAUUUUUACUCAAUCUGGAGUCCAGUGGCUGAGUAGGUAGCAAAGAGACGCAAACAAAAUUGAUUUCCUUAUCCUCUUUGAAUGCCCCUAUAUGUUGAGAGUAGGUGUUUUUAAGACGGGUGUGGGAGAAAACUCACAGGGCUGUACUGGCGAAGGACCAGGUGUGUGCUGGUUCAGGGAUCCAGGCUGUGCUGGUGAGGGCCCCAGGGUGUGUGCUGGUGCAGGGACCCAGGGUGUGUGUGGUGCAGGGACCCAGGGUGUGUGUGGUACAGGGACCCAGGGUGUGUGUGGUACAGGGACCCAGGGUGUGUGUGGUGCAGGGACCCAGGGUGUGUGUGGUGCAGGGACCCAGGGUGUGUGCUGGUGCAGGGACCCAGGGUGUGUGUGGUGCAGGGACCCAGGGUGUGUUCUGGUGCAGGGACCCAGGGUUUGUGUGGUGCAGGAUGCAAAGAUGAGAGUUUAUUCUUGGAAAGUCGGAGCCACUUUUCUCCUUUGAUGAGCCCUGGCUGGGGAUGCAGUUCAUGGGAAGGUGUCACAUAUUGCACUUGCCAUGGGGUGAAGUAUCAAACCAUCACAUCCUUGGGAUGGAAACAAUUAAUGCAGAAUGUAUGUUUAUAGAAAACAUUUGAUCAUCCAGGGAAGUAAUCCAGGCACAUGGAAGAAAGAUAGUGUGGGUGAUGGAGUCAGUCCACCUGGCUUCCAGUCCCAGCUGCGCUUGUUGCGUCACCUCAGGCUAGCCUCUCAACCUCUCUGAGCCUCAGCUUCUUCCUCUGUAAAAUGGGUCAGGAACAGGGGCCGUAGACAUGUUGUAUUAAGUGACACAGUACCUCCUAAACAACUCACACAUAAUAAGCAUUAAGCAAAUACUCAUUCGUGUGGUUUCUGGUUUUAUUCAUUAAGAAAGGAGUUUUGCUUCCAAGAUAGCAGAAGAAGUGGAGAUGUUGUGGAAAUCUUUGGUUUAAACAAUGAACUCCAGCAUGAAAUGGGGCCCUACUGGCCACCAGGGGCCAAAGGGCAGCCAGAAUAUUCCAGCACAGACAAUGGAUUCAUCUGGGGAAAAUGUUUAAGGCACCAAGAAUUUUUUUGCGUCUUUUUUCCCCUGUGAUAUAGACUAAAACCCUCCCUCCUCUCUGCAUGUCGCACUGUUCUUGCUGCCAUUCUCUUGCUCCGUGGUCUGGGAAUGUUUUUUUCUUUCUUAGUUUGGCUCUUUUUUUAGAACUGGUUGUGAAUUCUUUCUUCUCUCACAUAGACAUAUGACAUGGGGGAGGAGGGCACGCGUAUUUCCUACAUUUUAGCUGGAAAUCUACCUCUCCCUGGAGUAGGGAAGCCAGCAGGGGAGUUUUUCCAUCCCCUUGCAAGUCUCUCUCAGCAGUGUGCCCCAUGCGCGUGCGUCACACAUUUUGAUCAUGAGUAACGGAGAAGUUUCCCUAAGUGGGGGGUGGGGAUGGACUUCAGAAACCCUGGAGGGCGUGCCUGAGCCCACAGGUGACUGGAGCCGCCUCUUCCCACUGUGUCUUUGGCAGGCGGGCUGCCCUCAAGCUCCAGGAACCCGCUUUGGCCAUAAGCAUGGGAGUCUGAAUGAGCCCGACAAGCCACACCUGUCGGGCACCCUGAACCGUGACUGCGGCUACCUGGGUGUGAGUGCGCCGGCUCACUCACCCCGUGCUGAGGGAAUUCCAAGGAUGCCCUGUGAGCUGGGCCUGCGGUCACUGGAGGCGGUGGCCCACUUGCUCGUGUACCCUCUGCCGUCUGCUCGGCUUCCCUUGCCCAUGUCACUGCUCCCCUUCCAUCCCCAGGCUCCCUCCACCUCCCAGGCAGCACUUGCUCUCAGAUGCAAAUGCAUUCUCAAAGGCAGAAGGCACUCUACUGAGCCUGGUUUAGAUUUUGCUGAAACCACUGUGGGCCCCAAAUUAGCAGGGCAUGUUUUGUCAGGCCCCUGCUUCCAUGGGUUUGAAAUUGCACCUACUCAAAGCCCAGUUCCCGGUGGGUGCAGAUCUGCCAGGGUGUGUGUGGCCUGAGAACUGAUGGUGAUGUGGCCCCAGGACCACUGCCACCCCUCCUGUCCCUCAGCCUUCCUUUUGCUGGAAAGCUGGCUUGUGCUGCAGGGGGCGAUGGUGGCAGCAGCAGCUGGCAUGCUGGGACAUGGAUGACGUGAUGGUGGAUGGGGAGCAGAUAUGUGGUACCGUGCUAAGGACAUGGCUUGGGAUGCCUGCAUCCCAUAUCUGAGUGCCUGGGUCCAUGUCCAGACUCUGCUCCUCAUGUGCUCCCUGGGAGGUGGCAGGUGAUGGCUCAAGUGGCUGGGUCCCAGCCACCUACAUGGGAGACCCAGACUGCACCCUGGGCUCCUGGCUUCAGCCCAGCCCAGCCCUGAGCAUUGGAAUUUGGGGAGUCAACCAGCAGAUCGAAGAUCUCUCACUCUGGCUCUCGCUCUCACUCUCUCCCCCUCUCUGCCUUUAGAAUAAAU